rnacentral:lncRNA from 1 species
AAGGGGGUACAAUCAAUUUUCCAGUGUCCAGCAGUUUUGUCCACAGUCUCAGCCAGGUAUCCUGGCAGGCGGCAGGCAGCAGGCGGCAGGUAUCACAUCUGAGCAUCUCGCUCACUGGUCCAGGUGCAGGAACUGGGGUGCCUCAUAAUCUUCUUUGGAGACUUUGGGUCACUGUCAGGAUCUGGCAGUCUGUCUGAUAUUAUAAACUCCAAGAUCGAAUCCACUCAGGUGAAGGGUGGUCGCAAAUCCUCGGAUGAAACACUCAGGUCUUCUUCUCACCUCAUUUUCUAUCUUGUCCUAUUGUGCCCAAAUUA